UACGUAGGGUGCAAGCGUUGUCCGGAAUUAUUGGGCGUAAAGAGCUCGUAGGCGGUUUGUCGCGUCUGCUGUGAAAUCCCGAGGCUCAACCUCGGGCUUGCAGUGGGUACGGGCAGACUAGAGUGCGGUAGGGGAGAUUGGAAUUCCUGGUGUAGCGAUGGAAUGCGCAGAUAUCAGGAGGAACACCGAUGGCGAAGGCAGAUCUCUGGGCCGUAACUGACGCUGAGGAGCGAAAGCAUGGGGAGCGAACAGG
rnacentral:rRNA from 1 species